rnacentral:lncRNA from 1 species
GUAGGUCUAUUAACCAUGACUGUAGGUCUACUAACCAUGUCUGUACUGUAGGUCUACUAACCAUGUCUGUACUGUAGGUCUACUAACCAUGACUGUACUGUAGUCCUACUAACCAUUACUGUACUGUCGGUCUACAAACCAUGACUGUACUGUAGGUCUACUAACCAUGACUAUAGGCCUACUAACCAAGUCUGUACUGUAGGUCUAUUAACCAUGUCUGUACUGUAGGUCUACUAACCAAGUCUGUACUGUAGGUCUAUUAACCAUGUCUGUACUGUAGGCCUACUAACCAAGUCUGUACUGUAGGUCUACUAACCA